GUUUUGGGCGUCCCUAAAAAAAACAAAAUACUGAAAUGUUUUGAAUCGCCCCCCACCUCACUGAUCGUCUUCCAACAGAGAGAGAGAGAGAGAAAGAGAGAGAAAGAGGUCGACGGACGAACUGAUAGCGCGAUCACCAGCGACCACUAGCCUCACCUCCACCUCCGGCGACCACCAGCCUCACCUCCACCUCCGGCGACCACCACCAUCAUCAGGUUCGCCUCCGGCGACCAACCCUUCGCGAAAAUCGACGCUCCGCCGACGACCACCGACGACAAACCCACCGCCAAGAGCAUAUCUGGCAAAAAAAGGGAGAAUGGCAAUGGCACAACUGGCAUAGCAUAUGGAAGUUAAAGCUACACUCUUUUCCCAAUAAACUUGCUUCUAAGUUAUCUUGGUUCUAUUUGUGGAUAGAGCUUCAGUACUUGGGAUGCCAUUGAAUACUUGAAGGAGCUUUUGCAAAGGAUCAAUGACCUCCAAAACAAACUCGGGGCAACUCCACCUGAUUUGGUGGCGAAGAAGAGUGGAAUGAUUUGAUGGCAAAUAAAAAUGGAGAUGUAAUUCCUAGACAAAUUUGUCCUACAAUUGAAAAUAUGAACAUUGGAACGUGGCCAAUUUUUGUUUUGCAAAGGAGGUUUAAAUCAUUAGAGAGGAGAAUGUAUUAUGUACUCUUAUUUAUUUGGAUGUGAAUGAUAAUUAGAAUGAGAAUGGCCUUUUUGUUGUGAA